AGUAAUGCAUAGGAAUCUGCCCAUGUAGUGGGGGGACAACCUGGGGAAACUCAGGCUAAUACCGCAUGAGCCCUUCGGGGGAAAGCAGGGGAUCUUCGGACCUUGCGCUAUUGGAUGAGCCUAUGCCUGAUUAGCUUGUUGGUGGGGUAACGGCCUACCAAGGCGACGAUCAGUAGCUGGUCUGAGAGGACGAUCAGCCACACUGGGACUGAGACACGGCCCAG
rnacentral:rRNA from 1 species